GAACAACUCUGUGCGGUGGAUCACUCGGCUCGUGUGUCGAUGAAGAGCGCAGCCAACUGUGUGAAUUAAUGUGAAAUGUAGCCUGCUCAGAACAUCGACAUCUUGAACGCAUAUUGCGGCCGUAGGUCUUCCUAUGGCCACGCCUGUCCGAGGGUCG
rnacentral:rRNA from 1 species